ACAGCAGUCGCCGCGGUAAUACAGAGGGUGCGAGCGUUAAUCGGAUUUACUGGGCGUAAAGCGUGCGUAGGCGGCUAAUUGAGUCGGAUGUGAAAUCCCCGAGCUUAACUUGGGAAUUGCAUUCGAUACUGGUUAGCUAGAGUGUGGGAGAGGAUGGUAGAAUUCCAGGUGUAGCGGUGAAAUGCGUAGAGAUCUGGAGGAAUACCGAUGGCGAAGGCAGCCAUCUGGCCUAACACUGACGCUGAGGUACGAAAGCAUGGGGAGCAAACAGGAUUAGAUACCCCAGUAGUCCCUGUCUCUUAUAA
rnacentral:rRNA from 1 species